AAAAAAUAAUAACAGUAACAGCAGUGGCUUUAAUUUGAUAUUUGAACCAUCAUUCACAAAAGCUUUCCCUAUUCAUGACUUAAUUUGAACAUCCCCCUUCAGAUGGCCUUAUGAUAUUUAUAUAUGAGAAUAUAUGAAUAUUCAUAUGAGAACAUUGAGGUUCAGAAAUUUUGUUCAGGAUUUUGCAGCAAGCACAUGACAGAAGCAAUCUAGAAUUCUGGUUGUUGAAUAUGUAGCUCAAUGUCAGUACCAUCAUAUCAAGAAAAUUUCACAGUCCUCACAAAUUGUAGACUUUAUCCCUCUCUUAAUCAGUAUUUAUAGCUUUCUGGAUGCAUAGCCAUCAUCUUUUAUAAAAAGUAUGAUUAUUUGUACACCUUACUUGUCUUAUUUUACCUUGAUCUUAUUAUACCUUAAUCAUAACUUGAUCAUUUGUGGUCAGAAUAAGAUUUCUGUGUAUUAAGUGUCCACCAAACCUAUCUUAAGUAUCCUCGAGUUGGUGUCUAGAUCUUGUGGAGGGGACAGUUAGUGCUGGUCAACAUUGAUGUCCUCUCUUCUUUCUGGUCACCCCACCAGACCAUAUACUCAUGUCAGAGAUUCGGCCAAUGGAACCUGUGUAGAAAUUGGGCCCGCUAUUUCCACACUGAGCCAAGUAAGAAAAUCAUACCAUUUAUAAUCCUUACUCCCCUUUUCUAGCCACCUACUGAAUAGAGAAAACCCCAGGGACCUAGAGAGGGAUGGAGCCACAAGACAGAAGAAACCUGGGUCGCUGCAUGACUCUGAUGGGCAGAACCCAUUCCCUGGCCAAUGCUUCUCUCUGCUCCUCACUCCCACCAGUGUGCAUUGGAACUGUAUAACAUGAUCAAGAAGCAAACCCUCAUUAUGCAAAGCCGUUGAAAUUUGAAGGUUACUUAUUACAUCUGCAGCCUACUCAGACUAAUACAACUCCCCAUUAUAAGAAGCUAAUAUCUACAAAGACGUAAUAUUUAACACACUCCAAAAGAGCACACAUUGUAAAGCAAUUUUAAUAAGUUAUUUCCUAUUGCUGAACCUGAGAAUACUUUUUUGGGGGAAAAUAAUCACAAUGCUCUACUUUCGAAUAAAAACAUAAUCAUGAUUUUAAUGAUCAAAUUCUUCUAUCGUCAUAAACUUUAGGUCAUGAUAGAUAAAUUAUGUGAAGUACACAUUGUAAUAUAAGACUACCAUCAAGAUAUUCAGGACACACUAAAAAGCAAAGUAUGAUUUGGUUUGUGAGGCUCGACAAGUAGCAAACACCAUCUCUGCUUGCUGAAAAGCUGCAGAGGCCGCCGGGAACCCACACACCUGAGUCUUUUACCUUUACCCAAGAAAGGAAUAAAAGGUCAGACAAUGACAACUGUGUCCUCAACAGCCAGGCCCCAGGAAUCAGUGGCUUUUGAUGACGUGGCUGUGUACUUCACUAAGAAGGAAUGGGCCAUCAUGGUGCCUGACCAGAGGGCCUUGUACAGGGAUGUGAUGCUGGAGAACUGUGAAGUUGUGGUCCUUGUAGCAGUGCCACCCACUUCCAAACCAGCUUUGGGCUCAUCUGGAGCAAGGGAAAGAGCCCUGUUCCACCCAACCACAGGGAGUCCUAAGCAGGAGGGACUGGAGAGCAGGCUUUAUAGGACACUCGGAACUGAGAAGAUAUACUUACUUAGCUAAAGCAAUGUUAUGUGUAAUAAAAUAAAAAAUUCUUCAAAAUCAUUGAUGCUGGGAAGUCAGGAGAAAGGCUUAAUUCUUGACAUUUAAAUACCAGUUUUCCAAGUCAGGAGUUGAUGUAAGAGGCACCUUAAAUGAUGUCAAAUGCACAUUUUCUUUUGCUGUAGACUAGUU